AUGUUACAGCCCAGCGUUGCCUCCAGUUGCUGGCCUUCUCCAAGGACGUGCUGCAGCACCGUGAGCCAGCGGCGCCGUGGACGACGCUCCCACCGUCCAGCGCCCUGGUGCCUAACGCCGUGGGACGCGACCACGGCCCUGCUCGCCCUCCGCCUUGCUAGCGCUGCUGGCCCCUGUUCGUGCAUCUCACGAGGAGAAACCAGAGAUCGCUAUGGCUACCCGUGGGCUGACUCCACCAUCGUCAUCCAGGUCCGUGACAUUGACGACCGACCCCUCCCCUUCCUCGUCUACCCAUGCGGUUGCUCCGCCGCCGCCGGAGACGGUGGUUUUGCUUCUGCGGCUGAAGCGGCGCGACGAAGGUGUCCUCGAAGCGGCGCGUUUAGCUAUGGUUCGUGCCGCCGGAUGCUAUUCGACAGUGUAUACCCAGGGUUGCCUUCUAUCCAUGUUCAUUUUGUUCUUCAUUCCUUCAUUGGGGUUCAUAUCAGAUCAGACUCGCACGCCAUGAAAGAUUGUGCCUCCCUUCUCUCGAUUCAUGCACUGCUUCGCAGUACAAGUAGGUUGGGUUGA
rnacentral:rRNA from 1 species